rnacentral:rRNA from 1 species
UACGGGGGGGGCAAGCGUUGUUCGGAAUUACUGGGCGUAAAGGGCUCGUAGGCGGCCAACUAAGUCAGACGUGAAAUCCCUCGGCUUAACCGGGGAACUGCGUCUGAUACUGGUUGGCUUGAAUCCGGGAGAGGGAUGUGGAAUUCCCAGUGUAGAGGUGAAAUUCGUAGAUAUUGGGAAGAACACCGGUGGCGAAGGCGGCUCUCUGGACCGAGACUGACGCUGAGGCGCGAAAGCGUGGGGAGCAAACAGG